GCUCCGUUGGUGAACCAGCGGAGGGAUCAUUACCGAGUUUACAACUCCCAAACCCCUGUGAACAUACCAUUUGUUGCCUCGGCGGUGCCUGCUUCGGCAGCCCGCCAAAGGACCCAAACCCUUGAUUUUAUACAGUAUCUUCUGAGUAAAUGAUUAAAUAAAUCAAAACUUUCAACAACGGAUCUCUUGGUUCUG
rnacentral:misc_RNA from 1 species